rnacentral:rRNA from 1 species
AACGCGAAGAACCUUACCAACCCUUGACAUGGCAGGACCGCUGGAGAGAUUCAGCUUUCUCGUGAGAGACCUGCACACAGGUGCUGCAUGGCUGUCGUCAGCUCGUGUCGUGAGAUGUUCGGUUAAGUCCGGCAACGAGCGCAACCCACGUCCCUAGUUGCCAGCAUUCAGUUGGGCACUCUAUGGAAACUGCCGAUGAUAAGUCGGAGGAGGGUGUGGAUGACGUCAAGUCCUCAUGGCCCUUACGGGUUGGGCUACACACGUGCUACAAUGGUGGUGACAGUGGGUUAAUCCCCAAAAGCCAUCUCAGUUCGGAUUGUCCUCUGCAACUCGAGGGCAUGAAGUGGAAUCGCUAGUAAUCGCGAUCAGCAUGC